rnacentral:rRNA from 1 species
UAUGGGGGGGGCAAGCGUUGUUCGGAAUUACUGGGCGUAAAGGGCUCGUAGGCGGCCAACUAAGUCGGAUGUGAAAUCCCCAGGCUCAACCUGGGAACUGCAUCCGAUACUGGAUGGCUUGAAUCCGGGAGAGGGAUGCAGAAUUCCAGGUGUAGCGGUGAAAUGCGUAGAUAUCUGGAGGAAUACCGGUGGCGAAGGCGGCAUCCUGGACCGGCAUUGACGCUGAGGAGCGAAAGCUAGGGGAGCAAACGGG